AGUGAACGCUGGCGGUAGGCCUAACACAUGCAGGUCGAACGGCAGCACAGUAAGAGCUUGCUCUUACGGGUGGCGAGUGGCGGACGGGUGAGGAAUACAUCGGAAUCUACUUUUUCGUGGGGGAUAACGUAGGGAAACUUACGCUAAUACCGCAUACGACCUACGGGUGAAAGCAGGGGAUCUUCGGACCUUGCGCGAUUGAAUGAGCCGAUGUCGGCUUAGCUAGUUGGCGGGGUACAGGCCCGGGUAGGCGACGAUCGGUAGCUGGUGUGAGAGGAUGGUCAGCCACACUGGAAGUGAGACACGGUCCAGACUCCUACAGGAGGCAGCAGUGGAGAAUAUUGGACAAUGGGCGCAAGCCUGAUCCAGCCAUACCGCGUGGGUGAAGAAGGCGUUCGGGUUGGAAAGCCCUUUUGUUGGGAAAGAAAAGCAGCAGGUUAAUACCCCGCUGUUCUGACGGUACCCAGAGAAUAAGCACCGGCUAACUUCGUG
rnacentral:rRNA from 1 species